GCAAGGGAAGGAUUCUUCAUUCAUAUUCAAGUUAAUGGUGACUUUUAUAAGAAAAUAGCCCAGUAAUUGAAGUUGUGAUAGAACCCAUAGAUGAAAAGCAAUGAACAAUUUCAGUCUAUAGGUAGUAAGCAUCAUCCAAAUAAUCUAGGUCUCUAUUUGGGGGUCUCAAGAUAAAUCUUACAAGAAGGUAAAACAAACCAGAUACAAAGAAUAUAAUAGCCUAUAUGAUAAUUAAUGAUUAGAAGUAUACUCGGACUUUCCUUGUUGUUCAAACUAAAACCAUCAUUAUCUGUUUGAAAAUUGGAUAAGGGAGAUGGUGGUGGCAGAGGAAAAUAUAAUGGUUGUUGCGAUGUAGAAUCUAUGUCAACAUCUAGCAGUUUUUGAACUCCCUCACUGAUCCUUGGGAACUUAAUUGCCUUCCCCAUUGCUGCCGCCGCUGCUGCUGCAACCUUAUUCUAAUUCCUCCACCUCCUUUGACACCAAACCCUAGCCCAAAUUUCUAAUACAAAAUUUUCAUUUAGAACGAGAGAGAGAAAGAAAGAAAAAAUAAAGAAAGUAGGAAGAUUGCAAAAUUUUCAUUCAGAACCUUAACUACCAAUUGGGAGUGAAGAAUUAGAAACGGCUUUGCCCUCUUUUGCAAUUUUUUUUUGGUAGAAUUAAGAAAUUGAGGGUAGAUCACAAUCACCUUUCUACAAAUCGGCAUUGAGAUGGUAGAUCAGCAGUGGCACAAAGAGGAGAGAGGACUGCCUUCAACAAUGGGUUGUAAAACGAGGAAUUAGAGAGUUUGAAACAAAACUGGGUAACGAGGGAUUUGAGCUCGAC
rnacentral:lncRNA from 1 species